GCCGAAGUAGCUCAGAGGUAGAGCAACUGAUUCGUAAUCAGUAGGCCGGGAGUUCGAAUCUCCCCUUCGGCACCA
rnacentral:tRNA from 1 species